CCUACGGGUGGCAGCAGUGAGGAAUAUUGGUCAAUGGACGAGAGUCUGAACCAGCCAAGUAGCGUGAAGGAUGACUGCCCUAUGGGUUGUAAACUUCUUUUAUCUGGGAAUAAAAUGUUCCACGUGUGGGAUUUUGUAUGUACCAUAUGAAUAAGGAUCGGCUAACUCCGUGCCAGCAGCCGCGGUAAUACGGAGGAUCCGAGCGUUAUCCGGAUUUAUUGGGUUUAAAGGGAGCGUAGGUGGAUUGUUAAGUCAGUUGUGAAAGUUUGCGGCUCAACCGUAAAAUUGCAGUUGAAACUGGCAGUCUUGAGUACAGUAGAGGUGGGCGGAAUUCGUGGUGUGGCGGUGAAAUGCUUAGAUAUCGCGAAGAACUCCGAUUGCGAAGGCAGUUCACUGGACUGCAACUGACACUGAGGCUCGAAAGUGUGGGUAUCAAACAGGAUUAGAUACCCGAGUAGUC
rnacentral:rRNA from 1 species